GAUGAACGCUGGCGGCGUGCCUAAUACAUGCAAGUCGAGCGAACAGACGAGGAGCUUGCUCCUCCGACGUUAGAGGCGGACGGGUGCGUAACACGUGGAUAACCUAACUAUAAGACUGGGAUAACUUCGGGAAACCGGAGCUAAUACCGGAUAAUAUAUUGAACCGCAUGGUUCCAUAGUUAAAGUCGGUUUUGCUGUCACUUAUAGCUGGAUCAGCGCCGCAUUAGCUAGUUGGUAAGGUAACGGCUUACCAAGGCAACGAGGCGUAGACGACCCGAGAGGGAGGUUGGCUACAUGGGAAGUGAGGCAGAGUCGAGACUCCUGCAGGGAGCAGCGGUAGGGAAUCUUCCGCGAGGGGGGAAAGCCUGACGGAGCAACGCGGCGGGAAGGAUGAAGGACUUCGGACCGGAAAACGCUGUUAGUAGUGGAGAACAAAUGUGUUAGUAACUGUGCAGGUAUUGACGGUACCUGGUCAGAAAGCCACGGCUAACUACGUG
rnacentral:rRNA from 1 species